UACGUAGGGUGCGAGCGUUGUCCGGAAUUACUGGGCGUAAAGAGCUCGUAGGUGGUUUGUCGCGUUGUUCGUGAAAACUCACAACUCAAUUGUGGGCGUGCGGGCGAUACGGGCAGACUGGAGUACUGCAGGGGAGACUGGAAUUCCUGGUGUAGCGGUGGAAUGCGCAGAUAUCAGGAGGAACACCGGUGGCGAAGGCGGUUCUCUGGGCAUGUCCUGACGCUGAGGAGCGAAAGUGUGGGGAGCGAACAGG
rnacentral:rRNA from 1 species